AGAAAGUUAGUCUAACCAAGACAGCUGGUUUCGGCCCAGCAAAUUAUAGAUACACCCCUAUAACUUUCUC
rnacentral:tRNA from 1 species